GAUGAAGAACGCAGCGAAAUGCGAUAAGUAAUGUGAAUUGCAGAAUUCAGUGAAUCAUCGAAUCUUUGAACGCACAUUGCGCCCGCCAGUAUUCUGGCGGGCAUGCCUGUUCGAGCGUCAUUUCAACCAUCAAGCCCCCGGCUUGUGUUGGGGACCUGCGGCUGCCGCAGGCCCUGAAAACCAGUGGCGGGCUCGCUAGUCACUCCGAGCGUAGUAAUACAUCUCGCUCAGGGCGUGCUGCGGGUUCCGGCCGUUAAAAAGCCUUAUUUACCCAAGGUUGACCUCGGAUCAGGUAGGGAGACCCGCUGAACUUAAGCAUAUCAAUAAGCGGAGGA
rnacentral:misc_RNA from 1 species